CCGUACCGAAAGGAGCGGCGGAGCGCUGUGAAGAGAGAAUGCCGGAAUGAGUAGCGAGAUGGAGGUGAGAAUCCUCCAGGCCGAAUAUCCAAGGAUUCCAGGGUAAAGCUGAUCUGCCCUGGGGAAGUCGGGACCUAAGCUGAGGCCGAGGAGGCGUAAGCGAUGGACAGCAGGUUGAUAUUCCUGCACUUAUGUAUAUCAGAACUGUGGGGACGCAGGCAAAAGGGUCGAGCCGGGGAAGGAAGAACCGGUCCCGCAAGGGGGAACGAACUAAAAGUAGUGAAGCGACAGAUAUGACUGCCAAGAAAAGCCACUAUAGCGUAUACAUAACCCGUACCGUAAACCGACACAGGUGGAUGAGGAGAGAAUCCUAAGGCCGACGGGAGAAGCAUUGUUAAGGAACUCGGCAAAAUGUCCCCGUAACUUCGGGAUAAGGGGAGCCUGAGAAAUCAGGCCGCAGAGAAGAGGCUCAAGCAACUGUUUAGCAAAAACACAGGUCUAUGCGAAACCGAAAGGUGAGGUAUAUGGGCUGACGCCUGCCCGGUGCUGGAAGGUUAAGAGGAGAGGUUAGAGCAAUCGAAGCUUUGAAUUUAAGCCCCAGUAAACGGCGGCCGUAACUAUAACGGUCCUAAGGUAGCGAAAUUCCUUGUCGGGUAAGUUCCGACCCGCACGAAAGGCGUAAUGAUUUGAGCACUGUCUCGGCAAUGCACCCGGUGAAAUUGAAGUACCAGUGAAGAUGCUGGUUACCCGCGCCAGGACGGAAAGACCCCAUGGAGCUUUACUCCAGGUUGAUACUGGGGUCCGGUACCAUAUGUACAGGAUAGGUGGGAGACUAAGAAACGGUGACGUCAGUUGCCGCGGAGUCGCUGUUGGGAUACCACCCUUAUGAUGCUGGGCUUCUAACCAAGGAUCUUGAAACAGGUCCGGGGACAAUGUCUGCCGGGGAGUUUGACUGGGGCGGUCGCCUCCGAAAGGGUAUCGGAGGCGCUCAAAGGUUCCUUCAGAAUGGACGGAAACCAUUCGUAGAGUGCAAAGGCAGAAGGGAGCCUGACUGUGACACCGACGGGUGGAACAGAUACGAAAGUAGGACUUAGUGAUCCGGUGGUAUGAAAGUGGGAUUGCCAUCGCUCAACGGAUAAAAGCUACCCUGGGGAUAACAGGCUUAUCACUCCCAAGAGUUCACAUCGACGGAGUGGUUUGGCACCUCGAUGUCGGCUCAUCGCAUCCUGGGGCUGUAGCAGGUCCCAAGGGUUGGGCUGUUCGCCCAUUAAAGCGGUACGCGAGCUGGGUUCAGAACGUCGUGAGACAGUUCGGUCCCUAUCCGGCGCGGGCGUAGGAUAUCUGAGAGGAGCUGUCCUUAGUACGAGAGGACCGGGAUGGACGGACCGCUGGUGUAUCAGCUGCAUCGCCAGAUGCAUAAGGCUGGGUAGCCACGUCCGGAAGGGAUAAACGCUGAAGGCAUCUAAGCGUGAAGCCCCCCUCAAGAUGAGAUAUCCCAUGCGCAAGCAGUAAGACCCCUUAGAGAGUAUGAGGUUAGAUAGGCACAAGGUGUAAGCACGGUAACGUGUUCAGCUGAUGUGUACUAAUAGGUCGAGGGCUUAUCCAA
rnacentral:rRNA from 1 species